UAAGAUUUUUUUUAAAUGCUUUGAUUUUCGUUUUAUAUUUAGAAUAACAAGAGACAGAAACGAAAAAAGGUCCGUUUUUUCAUUUUCUGAGACCGGAAGUGGUCAUCAGCAUGUGUGGAGCCAAACUGAGUACGGUGCAUAGACUGUAUAUACAUUUUUUUUUCGUUAGUUUUCAUGGUCAAAAUGAGAGAUCAGGUGGCCGAUCUUAAAAUAAAUCAAUAUUGAUUUUUUUUUUAUAGAGCGUUAAAGUUUUGCGAAGCCAGGAGGCGGGACUACUUGAUUGACAGUCCGGUCUGGAAUGAUUGACAGGUCCUAUGGAGGAGGCAGCAGAGACUCUGCUCUCCUCCUUUGGAUUAAUUCUGAUAUAAUAACUGUUGGUUUAUUUAUCGGUGGAGCAGCAGAACAUUUUCCACAGUUUUCCUGCCCGUUGGCUUGUUUUAACCAGUUUUCUACCUUAGGCUGAUUCUACCAGCAGACACUGAAAGGACUGAUAAGGUAAGUAAAUGUUUAUUUUCAUAUCGGUGCCGCUUUUAAUGCACUUUAUAUGCAGCUUUAGUGUCAGAUGUAAUGUGUGCCAUGCACUCCAGAUGUUGGUGGAGUUUGUUUCAGUGUGUGUUGACCAGAGAAGAAAGUUAGCAUAGUAAAUAUUAGCUUUAAUGUUAGCGAUGCUAACCGAGCUAGCUGCUCAGUAGCCUGAUUAAAGCUAACGUAGCAUCAAGCUAAUGUGUUGAGUUUCAUGUAAACAGCUGAAGUGUGUUGUGUUCCUGCAAUGUGGUUCAUUAAGUUCAUAAAACUGUGGCUGGUUGACAUUAAUGUAACGUUCAGGAAACUUAAAUGUGAUUAAAACAGUAACGUUAAUGUUCUAGUUGUCAGUAAUCAGCUUUAAUUUGACACUAAAACAGACUCUGAUAGUUUUAAAUGACAUCAGUUUCAUGAAUUUGUUGAAAAUUGUCUCAUUUGUUGUUGUGAUGUUGCUGCUUAUUCAUUGAAAGCAGAUGAUCCAUGUUGAAGAUACAUUUAGUUCUAGUAUCAGAAGUACAAGAAGGAAAAUGGAAGUUUAGUUCUGCUACGUCAAAGAUUUCAGGAUUAAAAUAACUAAAUGAGUCUUUAUGCCUCAAACUUUAUUUUACAAUAAAGAAAUAAUGAAAUAAUCACAGAUAAUAAAAAUAUAAAUAGCAGAGAAGACCUGAGAGAAUAAUUUCCUGAAAAGUCUGUGAAGGAAAAGCAGCUUUUUUAUCCUGAAAGAUCAGAAUCAGCUCCAACAUCUGCAUCUGACAGCAUCAAGUCAACCAGAAAGAAAAGAAAAAAGAAAAUGACUUCUUCCUGAUCACAUCUGUUCUGCUGCUCACAGUCUGCUGCUGCUCACAUUCUUCACAUUUAUAGUCCACUUUUAAAAGUUCAGCAGACAGGUGCUCUGCUUUGGAGUGUGACGAUGUUGUCGGUGAUGUGGAGAGUGAAGUUUCCGUUUCACCCACAGCGUGCUUUAGGGCAGCCGGGUCGGACUUGAUGUUUGAAAUACUGACCGACAGCUCAGAUUUAAUUGUUUGUAGUUCCGUUUUGAUGGGUGUUAAACUUUCACUCAAAGCUGCCAGGAGCUGGGUCUUUAAAAUAACCGCCGUCUCGUUACAGAGUGAAAGUAGCAAUUCCUCCUUAAGGUCAGAGAUUGCAGCAUCUGAGGGCCUCUUCAAAAGAAGACGUAGUUGAUGAAGGCGUUCUGGAGCAGGACCAGAAAGACCACGACCAAGCAGCUUUGAGAUCUUAGGCAGCGUCUCCCUCAGGUCCCUCUCUAUCUCCCCACACAUCCACCAACCACUGGAACACAUCUCCAAAGUUCUGCCGGGCCAGCUCAGCUUCCCCUCACAAGAAGUGCUGCCACCUGCCAGAUGAAGGAGCCUUUUGAGAGGCAGCUGGCAUCAUGAUUGGACUGUACUUUGGUCUGUUCCAAUCCAGCUUCAGCUCCAGAGACGGCAGGCAGAACGAGUCAACGGAGGCCGGGUGGACGAAGGCAUGCAGCUGAGUACAAUCCAGAAAACAACAGAGGAGGAGUGCAGCAGCCCAGGACCAGAACAAACAGAGUAGCAUCAUAUGUCUCUUAGAAAACAUCAUAGUAUAGCCUUUGGUAUGAAAAAACGCCAUCAUAUACAUCGUAUAUUGUACAAAUAACAAGUCAAAGGAAAGAGACAUACAUUGUAGAAUUGUAGUAAUUGUGGGCUGAAUGAUUUACUGAUUAUCAGUAUUUUAUUUUUUACUGAUUUACAGUAAUAAAUACAUUUAAAAAUGG